rnacentral:rRNA from 1 species
AAGGGCGCACGGUGGAUGCCUUGGCACUAGGAGCCGAAGAAGGACGGGACUAACACCGAUAUGUCUCGGGGAGUCGUAAGUAGACAUUGAUCCGGGAAUUUCCGAAUGGGGGAACCCACUGUUCGUAAUGGAACAGUACCGUUACCUGAAUACAU